ACAGGUUAAUAUUCCUGUACUUGGUGUUACUGCGAAGGGGGGACGGAGAAGGCUAUGUUGGCCGGGCGACGGUUGUCCCGGUUUAAGCGUGUAGGCUGGUUUUCCAGGCAAAUCCGGAAAAUCAAGGUUGAGGCGUGAUGACGAGGCACUACGGUGCUGAAGCAACAAAUGCCCUGCUUCCAGGAAAAGCCUCUAAGCAUCAGGUAACAUCAAAUCGUACCCCAAACCGACACAGGUGGUCAGGUAGAGAAUACC
rnacentral:rRNA from 1 species